rfam:Erinaceus europaeus unplaced genomic scaffold scaffold00370, whole genome shotgun sequence
CUAUAUUCACUUAUAAAGCUUGGCAGUUUACUAUUGUUCUUUUGGUUUGUACAUAAUACAAAAGGGAUAAAAAAUUCUUACACAUUCUAUCUCUCUUUGUGUUGGCCCAGAUUAAAGAAGGGAAUAAUACA